rnacentral:rRNA from 1 species
GAGUUGUAAUUUGCAGAGGAUGCUUCGGGCGCGGCGGACCAAGUCCCCUGGAACGGGGCGCCAUAGAGGGUGAGAGCCCCGUCGGGUCGGCCGCCAAGCCUGUGUGAAGCUCCUUCGACGAGUCGAGUAGUUUGGGAAUGCUGCUCUAAACGGGAGGUAGACCCCUUCUAAAGCUAAAUAUUGGCCAGAGACCGAUAGCGCACAAGUAGAGUGAUCGAAAGAUGAAAAGCACUUUGAAAAGAGGGUUAAACAGUACGUGAAAUUGUUGAAAGGGAAGCGCUUGUGACCAGACGUGCGCCGGGUGUUCAGCGGGCGUUCUGCCCGGUGUACUCGCCCCGGCGCAGGCCAGCGUCGGUUCGGAUGGGGGGACAAAGGCCCCGGGAAUGUGGCUCCUCCGGGAGUGUUAUAGCCCGGGGCGUCAUGCCCCCGCCCGGACCGAGGUUCGCGCUCUGCAAGGACGCUGGCGUAAUGGUCCCCAGCGGCCCGUCUUGAAACACGGACCAAGGAGUCGAGGUUUUGCGCGAGUGUUUGGGUGUCAAACCCGCACGCGUAAUGAAAGUGAACGCAGGUGGGAGCUUCGGCGCACCACCGACCGAUCCUGAUGUUCUCGGAUGGAUUUGAGUAGGAGCGUAGGGCCUCGGACCCAAAGAUGGUGAACUAUACGUGGAUAGGGUGAAGCCAGAGGAAACUCUGGUGGAGGCUCGCAGCGGUUCUGACGUGCAAAUCGAUCGUCAAAUCUGCGUAUGGGGGCGAAAGACUAAU